rnacentral:rRNA from 1 species
AGAAUCAACGCUGGCGGCGUGCCUCAGACAUGCAAGUCGAACGCGAAAGCCCCCUUCGGGGGGCAAGUAGAGUGGCGCACGGGUGAGUAACACGUAGGUAAUCUACCUUCGGAUGGGGAAUAACAAUCGGAAACGAUUGCUAAUACCGCAUAAUGCAGCGGCACCUAAUGGUGACAGUUGUUAAAGCGGGGGAUCGAAAGACCUCGCGUCUGAAGAGGAGCCUGCGGCGGAUUAGCUAGUUGGUAAGGUAAUGGCUUACCAAGGCAACGAUCC